rnacentral:rRNA from 1 species
UACGUAGGUAGCAAGCGUUGUUCGGAAUUACUGGGCGUAAAGAGUGUGUAGGUGGUGUCGUAAGUUUGGUGUGAAAUCUCCCGGCUUAACUGGGAGGGUGCGCCGAAGACUGCGAUGCUGGAGUAUGGGAGAGGAAAGCGGAAUUCCUGGUGUAGCGGUGAAAUGCGUAGAUAUCAGGAGGAACACCUGCGGUGUAGACGGCUUUCUGGACCAUUACUGACACUGAGACACGAAAGCGUGGGUAGCAAACAGG